rnacentral:rRNA from 1 species
UCACGCUGUAAACGAUGUCGAUUUGGAGUUUGUUGCCUAGAGUGAUGGGCUCCGAAGCUAACGCGAUAAAUCGACCGCUGGGGAGUACGGCCGCAAGGUUAAAACUCAAAUGAAUUGACGGGGGCCCGCACAAGCGGUGGAGCAUGUGGUUUAAUUCGAUGCAACGCGAAGAACCUUACCUGGUCUUGACAUCCAUAGAAUUCUGCAGAGAUGUGGGAGUGCCUUCGGGAACUAUGAGACAGGUGCUGCAUGGCUGUCGUCAGCUCGUGUUGUGAAAUGUUGGGUUAAGUCCCGCAACGAGCGCAACCCUUAUUCUUUGUUGCCAGCGAUUUGGUCGGGAACUCAAAGGAGACUGCCGUUGAUAAAGCGGAGGAAGGUGGGGACGACGUCAAGUCAUCAUGGCCCUUACGACCAGGGCUACACACGUGCUACAAUGGCGUAUACAAAGGGAAGCGAAGGUGCGAGCUGGAGCGGAUCUCAUAAAGUACGUCUAAGUUCGGAUUGGAGUCUGCAACUCGACUCCAUGAAGUCGGAAUCGCUAGUAAUCGUAGAUCAGAAUGCUACGGUGAAUACGUUCCCGGGCCUUGUACGCACCGCCCGUCACACCAUGGGAGUGGGUUGCACCAGAAGUAGAUAGCUUAACCGCGAGGGGGGCGUUUACCACGGUGUGAUUCAUGACUGGGGUGAAGUCGUAACAAGGUAACCA